rnacentral:misc_RNA from 1 species
AACGCAUCUUGCGCUCCUUGGUAUUCCGAGGAGCAUGCCUGUUUGAGUGUCAUUAAAUUCUCAACUCCCUUUGAUUUCUUCAAGGGUGAGCUUGGAUUGUGGAGGCUUUGCUGGCUGUAAAGUCAGCUCCUCUGAAAUGCAUUGGCAAAGGUUGUGUGCAUGAAAUAUGGCCUUUCGGUGUGAUAAUGAUCACUGUGGGCUGGUUGCUUUAACACCUAUGUCCAACUUUUUCCAGCUGGAAAAAAAUGCUUGACAACUUGACCUCAAAUCAGGUAGGACUACCCGCUGAACUUAA